rnacentral:rRNA from 1 species
AGCGAACGCUGGCGGCAGGCCUAACACAUGCAAGUCGAACGAACCCUUCGGAGUUAGUGGCGGACGGGUGAGUAACACGUGGGAACGUGCCUUUUGGUUCGGAAUAACUCAGGGAAACUUGUGCUAAUACCGAAUGUGCCCUUCGGGGGAAAGAUUUAUCGCCAUUAGAGCGGCCCGCGUCUGAUUAGCUAGUUGGUGAGGUAACGGCUCACCAAGGCGACGAUCAGUAGCUGGUCUGAGAGGAUGACCAGCCACACUGGGACUGAGACACGGCCCAGACUCCUACGGGAGGCAGCAGUGGGGAAUCUUGCGCAAUGGGCGAAAGCCUGACGCAGCCAUGCCGCGUGAAUGAUGAAGGUCUUAGGAUUGUAAAAUUCUUUCACCGGGGACGAUAAUGACGGUACCCGGAGAAGAAGCCCCGGCUAACUUCGUG